CCCGAGCCCGCCCAGAGGGCCCAGCAGACGCCCUUGAGAGUGUCUCCUUGGGAUGUGCUCCCCUCUUACUUGCCCCCCCUUCCCCCUUCUCGGGUCCCGGUCCGCUGUGGGGAUGGAGAGACACUCAGAACUGGGAUGGGCGCUGUUGGCUGAGCGGAUCCACCUAUUGUGAGUGCGCGCCGAUUGGCUCGCAGCGCAGCGUACCGGGGUGGAACCAAUCAGGCAGCAGAGGCUGGGAGAUGAUGGGCGGCCGCCUCCUCACUGGAGGGAUUCCGGAGAAGCUGCAGUGUGGGGAUGCUCUAGACCGAGUCCUGCCCCCAGUGUCUUUCCAUCUCCUCCUCCUGCGGCGGCAGCGAAGGCAGCACCGAGCAGCACCGGCAACUUGGGGCUGCACCCGGGGCAAGCCCCCAGGGUGGUGCUCGGCUAAGAGGGGCCCCAGUGCCCCACGAGGCUGCCCCUCUCUAGCGGAGGCAGCAGCGAGAGUAGCGAGUGCUCCGCACAGGUCUCCGCGGGGAGAGGAAGAGAGCGCUGAGGACCGAAAGCCGGCACCACCUCCUGGUCCUCCCUCCAGAAGAGUAAAUACAAGCCUUUUUGUGGAACACUACUCAUAUACAUGAAUAUCUGCCAAGCAAACUCUGUAUUUAAACCCUGGAGAAGUUCAAAAGAGAUUGCAAACAGCAAAGGGGUUCUUUUAUAUUUCAAUAUCCUCUGUAAUUAACAUUUCUGUCUCAGUAUUAAUAAAACUAAGCUUUUGCCUGCUUUUUAUUUUCAUUUUAGUGGUUGGGGCCAUUAUUAUUUGUGUGAAUGGAUGAUCUAGCUGUUAAAAGUAACACAAGUGAAAAUUGGAGGGUAAUUGGAAGAGAUAAUUUGCUGUUAUGAAAACAUGUCCAAAUAUUUGUUCAUGUCAUUGUCAACACAGUGGUGACUGUAAGACCAAUUCAGUUCUUCUAAGACACCAAUUGAUUUUACUGAGGGCUUGGCCUCCGCAAUAGUCGUGUGGUCAGAUUUUAUCA
rnacentral:lncRNA from 1 species